AGCCCCUCCCUCACAGUGAGUGGGGGUUCCUGGUCCGCAGUUGGGGUCUGUGUAUUGGAGAAUCCGGCGUCGGGCGGAGGUGGAAUGUGAUUCCGAGGGGAAGGUCUCAAGUCAUGGGCGCUUCUGGACUAGAACGGGGAAAGCCUAGGGUGAGAGAGUUAGGAAAGGGGUCCCAGGCCAGGAGAGGAAGGAGCACCCACGGUCAGGUGGGAAACCCUCGGGACUGUCCUCCUGAGGGGUUUUUCUGAACAGACUGUGUGUGCCUCAAUGGAGUGUCUUGGAAACAGCAGGAGAGGUGCCCACUCUCCUCCCUGCCUGAAGCCUGGUGGCCCCUCUGCCCUGGGACACUUGCUCUGGACUUUGAAGUUGGCUGGGCCCUCUUGGGUCUGUGUUCCCGGGAGACCAUGAAGGACCUGGCCUGCUGGGUGGUCUAAGACCCGUUAAGACACAGGCCCAGGGCCUGGGGAAUCCACCCAGCAACUGGGUUUGGAGCCGGGCCCUUCAGGGGCUUGCCGAGGAGGAGCAAAACCAGGACACCAGAGCCUGGGCUGAUGGUCGAAUUCAUCCGGUCUAGAUAUCAGCUGUUUCAGAUCGAGUCACUUCAUUUGGUAACUGUACCCAUUUCAUUUGGUUCUCUCAUGGGCAUUCAUUUAAAACAUCACUUU
rnacentral:lncRNA from 1 species